UGCUGCUCACAGAGGAGGGCACGGCUUCAGGGACAGUGUCUGUGUGGAUGACUGAUCUCCUCUCCCUCUUUGUUCUCCACAGCUGGACCAGCCAUCGCUGAGGGCCAACCGAGGCAGCCACCCAACCCCAGGGGAGCCACAAGCUCACAAGGGGGCACGAGGACCUUCUGAGGCAGCACGUGGGCGUCCUGCAUCGGGAAAGAUUCUGUGGUGCAGUCAGAGCAGUGUCCAGUCCUUUGGAUGGAGCAGAAUGAUGAUUGAAAAAGAGGAGAGAGAUUGAGUAGCUGAGGGCAGCAAUGAAAGAACUAAGGGGAGUUGGGCCAUGCACGUAAUCUCCAAAGGUGCGAACAGUAUGUACCCUCCCUUCCCGCAUGCAUGGUCCGACUGGAUACUGCUAGAAAAAGACUUUGCUCUGCGACACCAAAACGAACCUGACCCCAACAAUGGAGCACCCACAGGGACAUCACUCAAAGAAGAACCAGAAGAACCUCCUGUGAGCUGAGUAUAUUGUCAUAUGAAAAUAUAUGUCUCGGAGAUUGACGGAUGAGAACCAGUCCCCCUCGUCCAGGGCUGGAAUGAUGGUUCCCAAAGUUACCAUCCUGAACAUCUUGUUGUGUACGAACUUGUUGAACUUCCUGAGAUCUAAGAUCAGCCUCCGUCCUCCUGUCUUUUUGGAAGUGAGGAAAUAAUUGAAAUAGAAUCUUCUUCGUGGAACUCUGGUGGAACUUGCUCUAUGGCCCCUAGGCUGAGUAGUUUUUGAACUUCUGCUUGUAGAAGGGGCUUGCGAGAGGGGUCCCUGAAGAGGUACAAGGAAGGAGGGUGGGUAGGAGGUACAGAUGUAAAUGGGAAUAAUAUAGCCAUUUCUUAUAAUCUCGAGGACCUAUUGGUCCAUAGUGAUGAGAGUCCAUUGGUGGUAAAAGGGUCUUGACCGAUGGUGGAAUGUGUGGAUGGUAUGCACCAGAUCUAGACAGUAGUUGCUCAUGCCCUCGACCACACCUUCAAAUUUGCUGCUUGGGUACAGCAGAUUGGGGAGCAGACACUUGGGUAUGUUGUGCCCUUCUUCUAUUGGUCUGUUGUUUCGACCUGUUGUCAAAGGGCCUCUGAUGUUGCCUCUUGUAGGAGGUGGUAUGGGAUGUAUUUCCUCCUUAUUAGGUGGCGUAUACAUUCUGAGUGUCAGGAGGGUUGUGCACGAAUCUUUGAAUGGAGUACUUCAUCGGUCUUCAUUGUCAAAAGCUGAGCCAUGUCAAAGGGCAAGUCCUCCACUUUGGUUUGCUGUUCCCUGGGAACACUGGAUGACUGCAGCCAAGAAUCAGAGGGGUAGCCGUGUUAGUCUGAAUCUGCAAAAGCGACGAGGAGUCCUGUGGCACCUUAUAGACUAACUGAAGUGUAGGAGCAUAAGCUUUCAUGGGCAAAGACCCACUUCGUCAGAUGUGUAGUAGCCGUUUCUGACACACACGCGAGCCGCUCUGAUUUGGCUUCUAACACUUUCAGCUGCUCAGUUCAGGAAGCCGUGUCUGAUAGAUGAAGGUUCUCCGCGACACAUUUAGCAGCCUGGACUCCCUGCCUCUGGUCCAGAGGGUCUCACCCCACUCCCAGCCCCAUGCCCCUUGUUCUCCGUGAUUCCGCCAGCUGCUUGGUGCCUUUAGUACCCGGCCUCUGCUGUGAGAUCUCUGUAGAGAGACGGGGCACAGGGGCACCUGCAGAGACCCUAGGAGACGUCCGUUUGAUCUUUGAGGCCAGCUGGAAUGAGGGAUGUAAAAUCCUGUUUAACUGGUUAGCUAAUUAACGGGGACAGGUGGACAGGCUGGCGGCUCUCUGCCUGCAGUGCAAGGGGCCCUGUGAGAGUGAAGCAGAUGCCAGCCUAUGGGGCGCAGGGUGCUGCUCCAGGCCCUCCCCCCUCCAGUUAACUGGACCCACUGGAUGAUGCUCGUCAGUGAACAGGUUGACCAAACUUGUCACACGCUGCUGAGGCACUUUUCUGUCCUCUCUCAACACUUCAGCAAAUGUCCAUUUCCCUUCCCUCCUUAGCUAUUUGUUUUCAUUCCUCUGGGAGGGGCUCAGGGGCCUGCUCCUUUUCCUUCUCUCUGCUGCAGGUUUGCCAAGAUCUCAUCUACCCCAGGUCACUGGGAACUGUGACUCAGCCAACAUGGGCACAGCACCAGACGGGAAUCCAGACCAGAGAGCCACAAGGUCACCCUGUGGACACUUUGGGUGCGUCUACACUGCACUCGGAGCUGGAAAUAAGCUACGAAAUUUGAGCUCAUUUCGAGUCAAUUUUGAAAAAGCUUAUUUUGAAUUUGGGAACGCGGCUACGGCCAAGCGGGCUGAAGCACAGCCUGGGACCGGAAGGGGGAAAGUGCUGGAUCCAGGGGAAGGGGAGGGGUGAGCACUUGCGGGGGGCAGGCGAUGACUUGAUUACAGAGGAGGAAACUGAGGCACGGGUGCUGGCCAGGGAACGCAGAGCUGGUGGGGGCGGGGCUGAUCACCUUCGGUUCACGGAGCAGUCGACGGACCUCGUGAAUUCUCACUGGCUACUCAAUGAUUCAGCAGUCCCGGGGCGGGGCUGGUGUGAUGUUACAAACAGCUGCUGUCACAACUGGCUCCCUGUAGCGGUUUCUGACACGUGUGGGGGUCAGAUCUGGCUUCUAUCGGUUUUAGCUGUUGAUGCAAGCAGAGACUGGAAGCCGAUUCUGAUAGAUGGAGGUUCACCUUGUCACAUUUGGAUGCCUGGACACCCUGCCUCUCAUCCAGAGAGGGCUUUCCUAUCUCCUAGUCCAGGAGUAUCCGUACAAUGGAAGUCACAUUUCUAAAGGAACAAAGCUCCCAUUCAAAUGAGGUAGAAGGAUGGGAAAUGCAAUUCAGGGACACACUGCAAGAGAUAACACAAAUACUUGAACUGUUAUGAGAUAUCAGGUAGUAACUGAUUGAGACUUUUAAAUCUUCACAAUGCGCUACACUCUCCUCACAGCUGCAUGUGAGGCGCUUGCUGCAUUUUUCCUCAUGUGCUAGAGCAGGGGUCUCCAACCUUUUUACACC